rnacentral:rRNA from 1 species
CACGUAGUUAGCCGGUGCUUAUUCUCCAGGUACCGUCAUCUUCCCGAGGUAUUAACCCAGGACAUUUCUUCCCUGACAAAAGCGGUUUACAACCCGAAGGCCUUCUUCCCGCACGCGGCAUGGCUGGAUCAGGCUUGCGCCCAUUGUCCAAAAUUCCCCACUGCUGCCUCCCGUAGGAGUCUGGGCCGUGUCUCAGUCCCAGUGUGGCUGGUCGUCCUCUCAGACCAGCUACAGAUCGUCGGCUUGGUAGGCCUUUACCCACCAACUACCUAAUCUGACAUCGGCCGCUCCAAUAGCGCGAGGCCUUGCGGUCCCCGCUUUCACCCGUAGGUCGUAUGCGGUAUUAAUCCGGCUUUCGCCGGGCUAUCCCCCACUACUGGGCACGUUCCGAUGCAUUACUCACCCGUUCGCCACUCGUCGCCAGGUUGCCCCGCGUUACCGUUCGACUUGCAUGUGUAAGGCAUGCCGCCAGCGUUCAAUCUGAGCCAGGAUCAAACUCU